rnacentral:rRNA from 1 species
AUUGAACGCUGGCGGCAGGCCUAACACAUGCAAGUCGAGCGGAUGAAGGGAGCUUGCUCCUGGAUUCAGUGGCGGACGGGUGAGUAAUGCCUAGGAAUCUGCCUGGUAUUGGGGGAUAACGUCCGGAAACGGGCGCUAAUACCGCAUACGUCCUGAGGGAGAAAGUGGGGGAUCUUCGGACCUCACGCUAUCAGAUGAGCCUAGGUCGGAUUAGCUAGCUGGUGUGGUAAAGGCCUACCAAGGCGACGAUCCGUAACUGGUCUGAGAGGAUGAUCAGUCACACUGGAACUGAGACACGGUCCAGACUCCUACGGGAGGCAGCAGUGGGGAAUGUUGGGCAAUGGGCGAAAGCCUGAUCCAGCCAUGCCGCGUGUGUGAAGAAGGUCUUCGGAUUGUAAAGCGCUGUAAGUUGGGAGGAAGGGAAGUAAGUUUAUCCCUUGCUGUUUUGACGUUACCAACACAAUAAGCACCGGCUAACUUCGUG